rnacentral:rRNA from 1 species
GAUGGACGCUAGCUACAGGCUUAACACAUGCAAGUCGAGGGGUAACGAGAGGGAAGCUUGCUUUCCUUGUCGACGACCGGCGCACGGGUGAGUAACGCGUAUCCAACCUGCCCCCAACUAGGGAAUAACCUUGCGAAAGUAAGACUAAUACCCUAUAAUUUCCUCAGAUGUCAUCUGACGAGGAAUAAAGAUUUAUCAGUUGUGGAUGGGGAUGCGUCUGAUUAGCUUGUUGGCGGGGUAACUGCCCACCAAGGCAACGAUCAGUAGGGGUUCGGAGAGGAAGGUCCCCCACAUUGGAACUGAGACCCGGUGCAAACUCCGACGGGAGGCAGCAGUGAGGAAUAUUGGUCAAUGGGCGGAAGCCUGAACCAGCCAAGUAGCGUGCAGGAUGACGGCCCUAUGGGUUGUAAACUGCUUUUAUACAGGAAUAAAGUUAGCCACGUGUGGUUAUUUGUAGGUACUGUAUGAAUAAGGACCGGCUAAUUCCGUGCCAGCCGCCGCCGUAA